rnacentral:pre_miRNA from 1 species
GAGGGCUAUGGACCUGAUGGACCUCUGAGUCUGAUCGGAAGCUGAUGUUGGUGUAUUCCGAUCGGACUCGGAGGUCCAUC